ensembl:misc_RNA
GGAUGUGCCUGCCUCGUGGCUUGUCCGAUUUGCACGGUGACUUGAUUACACUCUCUCAUUCAUGGUCACUUCCGAAGCGCUUUAGUGCCUUCCGUCCCUAAACCGCCCACAGCCAGAACGGCUUCUCCCCGCGGUUUGUCACUGAUCCGCAGGGCCCGGAAGGGCCUUCGUCUUACCCGGGAUCCAC